rnacentral:misc_RNA from 1 species
UUAACUAUUAGAUAGUACUCAGACAUCAAAGAUUCGAGGGUUUCAAGCUACCGACAGGCGGGUAAAGCCUGCCAAAGCAACAGAGUCUGGUAUACAAAGGAGGAGAAUAAGGGUGUUUAAAGCCCAGUUAUUCAAUAAUGAUCCUUCCGCAGGUUCACCUACGGAAA